UACGGAGGGUGCAAGCGUUAAUCGGAAUUACUGGGCGUAAAGCGUGCGCAGGCGGUUUGUUAAUUCCGUUGUGAAAUCCCCGAGCUCAACUUGGGAAUUGCAAUGGAUACUGGCAAGCUGGAGUAUGGUAGAGGAAGGUGGAAUUCCCGGUGUAGCAGUGAAAUGCGUAGAGAUCGGGAGGAACACCAGUGGCGAAGGCGGCCUUCUGGACCAAUACUGACGCUCAUGCACGAAAGCGUGGGGAGCAAACAGG
rnacentral:rRNA from 1 species